GAAGUUGUGGAGUCCAUGCUCUCCCAAAGAUCAAAAGUGAAGUCUCGAGGUGGGAAGUCAUUGGUGUGUCUUUUAGUUGCAGUAGGUUUCUCUCAUGUCACUUGGGUAGAGAAGAAUGAAGACAGCCAACAGCACUGUCCUUGCACUUGAUCUUGUUGUAUGUCAAACAUGAAACCAGGAUGGAGUUACAACUGCGAAGUUCUGCAGAGGGGCUCAUGACCCAGGGAUGUGCCCUGACAUAAUGAUAUAUUAACCACCAAACGUAUUGUUUUGAAGACUUGUUAUAGUUAGUGUUUCUAUGGCUGUGAAGAGACAUCAUGACCACAGCAACACUUACAAAGCAAAACAUUUCAUUCAGGAUGGCUUACAGUUCAGAGGGUUAGUCCAUUAUUGUCAUGGUGGGAAGCACGGCAGUGCAUAGGUAGACAUAUUUUGGAGAGUUAGCUGACAGACUCUAUCCCUCUGAAACCACAAACCAAACUAAAACCUUUAUCCUUUAAGUUACCUUUGUCAGGGUAUUUCAUCAGAAUAGCAGAAGACUAACUAGUACAUCCUAUUUAAGUGGGGGAAAUCCCUGGUAUGGUGGUGUGCUCAGUUCCAGUGUUGAGGGCGUACAGAAGAGUAAACCACUGGGGCUUACUAAGUAGCCAGCAUAGCCUGAUAAGCAAGCCCAUACCAGUGAGACACCCUGUCUCAACAAAACAAAACCAAGCCAAGCCAAGGUGCAUUGCAGCUAAGAAUGACCCCCAAAGGUUUCCUUGGGCCUCCUUGAGUACAUGACACACAUGCCCAGUUACUGGCACACACAUGUGCCCUGACACAUGAACACAUACCUAUAUGUAUAUAGAUGUAGACGCAUCCCCACAGAAUAGUCAAAAGCAAGCUUCAUGGUAAAUGAGUUCAAAAUGUAAAUGAAAUUAAAAAAAAUGCAACCACUUUAUAAUUUCUUACCUUGGAAAAGGACUCUACAUAGUUACUAGGUUGCCUGCCAUGAAGAGGCAUAGAGAAUGAACUCUCUGGAGCCAAAGCAUCCAUGUAAGAAUGUUUAUCUUUCCUAGAUCCAAAUUUCUGCAGCUUCACUUAGUCUAACCAGGAAACACUUAUAUAAGGGACACACUGAUGAGCACAGCAACAUCACUGGAGUUUUAAAUAGGUUAAGACAGGAACAUUCCUUUAAAAGGCCUUUGAAGGACUGCAUUUUUAAAGCUUGCCGCUAUAGCCACAUGCUUUUUAAAAGCCAGAACCCUGCCCAUCUGCACGCACAAAAAUAUUAAGUUAAUCACCCAAGAAGAGUUUUUUGAAAGCACUCUUAAGUCAGUCUUCAGGGAAAGAAGAGGUAAAUGAAACCUGUUCAUCUACUCCAGGAGAGCAUUAACAGAAAUGUCUUGCCGCAUCCCAAUUAAAAGGAGGUUCAAAGGCCAGUGAGGUGGUUCAGUACGUAAGGGCACUUCCUGUCAGGCCUAAAGGAACUGAGUUUGAUGCCCAGAAGCCACGUGGUAGAAGGUAGAAGGAGAGAACAUAUUCUUGAGAGUUGCCUACUGAUUUUCACAUAUGGGCACUGGGUUCUCUCUCUCUCUCUUUCUUUAGCUGGUGGGGGGGUGGGCAGGAGCUGGCCCUGAAUUGAAAUAGCGCGGGAAGAGAAUGCGAAGCAGGCCUACCUUAACGCUUUCCAGCCUCUCAGGGAGUCCAGGUCAGAGAUUAGGGAAACCAUUGUCUGAGAGCUGCGGAAAGAAGGCAAACCGGAGAGCAGAGGUGCCUGACAGGGCGACAGGGACGCAGGCAGAGGUGGCUCUGGGCUCAGGCCGGAGCAGCAGCGCCCAGCAGCUCGGCUCUUCCUCCUUCCAGGACUGAUAAGCGCUUGUCCU
ensembl:lincRNA